rnacentral:rRNA from 1 species
AGAGUUUGAUCGUGGCUCAAAACGAACGCUGGCGGCGUGCCUAACACAUGCAAGUCGAACGAGAAUCCGGGCUUCGGUCCGGUAGUAAAGUGGCGCACGGGUGAGUAACACGUGGGUAACGUGCCUUAUAGUGGGGGAUAACCAGGUGAAAGCUUGGCUAAUACCGCAUGAGUCCGUCGGGACGCCGGUCCUGACGGGGAAAGUGGAGCAAUCCACGCUAUGAGAUCGGCCCGCGGCCUAUCAGCUUGUUGGUGGGGUAAUGGCCUACCAAGGCGACGACGGGUAGCCGACCUGAGAGGGUGAUCGGCCACACUGGGACUGAGACACGGCCCAGACUCCUACGGGAGGCAGCAGUGGGGAAUAUUGCACAAUGGGCGCAAGCCUGAUGCAGCGACGCCGCGUGAGGGAUGACGGCCUUCGGGUUGUAAACCUCUUUCACCAGGGACGAAGCGGAAGUGACGGUACCUGGAGAAGAAGCACCGGCCAACUACGUGCCAGCAGCCGCGGUAAUACGUAGGGUGCGAGCGUUGUCCGGAAUUACUGGGCGUAAAGAGCUCGUAGGCGGUUUGUCGCGUCGUCUGUGAAAUUCUGCAACUCAUUUGCAGGCGUGCAGGCGAUACGGGCAGACUUGACUACUACAGGGGGAGACUGUAUUUCCUGGUGUAGCGGUGAAAUGCGCAGAUAUCAGACGACGCGGUGGCCGAAGCCUGUUCUCUGAGUAGUAGCUGACGCUGAGGAGCGAAAGCGUGACUAGCGACAGAUACAUCCCUGUAGUCAGCGUAACGUGGAUACUAAGAGGUUGAGUCUCUUUCGAGGAAUCGGUGCAGAGACUAGCCAUUAGUACCCGGUCAGGGCAGUACGUCGAAUGCUAAGUUAGGUAUCUGAUGGCUGCAAUCGAGAACAGUAAAUGCCGUUCGAAUGCA